UGUGCUCGUAGCCUUUAUAGGAAAUGUCC
rnacentral:piRNA from 1 species